rnacentral:rRNA from 1 species
GUAGGGAAUCUUCCGCAAUGGACGCAAGUCUGACGGAGCAACGCCGCGUGUGUGAAGAAGGUCUUCGGAUCGUAAAGCACUGUUGUUAGAGAAGAACAGCCGGUAGAGUAACUGUUACCGGAUUGACGGUAUCUAACCAGAAAGCCACGGCUAACUACGUGCCAGCAGCCGCGGUAAUACGUAGGUGGCAAGCGUUGUCCGGAUUUAUUGGGCGUAAAGGGAGCGCAGGCGGUGACUUAAGUCUGAUGUGAAAGCCCACGGCUCAACCGUGGAGGGUCAUUGGAAACUGGGUCACUUGAGUAUAGAAGAGGAAAGUGGAAUUCCAUGUGUAGCGGUGAAAUGCGUAGAUAUAUGGAGGAACACCAGUGGCGAAGGCGACUUUCUGGUCUAUAACUGACGCUGAGGCUCGAAAGCGUGGGGAGCAAACAGGAUUAGAUACCCCUGUAGUCC